AUUAUAGAAAUUCAGAAAUUCCAAUUUUUUUGAACCGAUCGGGUGGGGUGCUGCGCGUCGUUGCAAAGUAAAUAAAACAAAUUUGGUAACGCCCUUCUACAGAAAGACUAUAAUAGGUACAAGUUAUCCGCCCUGAUGUUGCGUCUCUUUAUGGAUUGAACAAAAUAGAUCAUCGAACAGCUAGCGGAACUAUAUGACAAAACUUAUCUCCUUUCAUAUUCAGUGGGUUUAGUGGAAUAGGAUUAUUUGUUGAACCAUUCCUUGGCGUCUGACAGAUAUAGGACCCUAUUGAUGGCCACUUUACGUUUGUUGAUGAGUAUAUGUAUAAAGCUCCUAGCAUAUGAGUCCAAUUCAUUUAUCUCUGAUACUUAUGAUAAUAGUUUUUAUUUCUUAAGUCCCUAUCAUAUCAGGCUUGGCCAAUAUGAUGGCCAUUUUUGAAUGUUUUGUACAGUCUCAUUUACUAAAUGCGUUCCGAUAAUUGCCAUUUCGAGUGCCACAUG